CAGCAGUGGGGAAUCUUGCACAAUGGGGGAAACCCUGAUGCAGCCAUGCCGCGUGGAGGAAGACACCCCUACGGGGCGUAAACUCCUUUUCUGGUGGAAGAAACCCCUGUUUUUCAGGGUGUGACGGUACACCAGGAAUAAGGACCGGCUAACUCCGUGCCAGCAGCCGCGGUAAUACGGAGGGUCCAAGCGUUGUCCGGAAUCACUGGGUGUAAAGGGUGCGCAGGUGGGGCAGCAAGUCAGUGGUGAAAGCCCGCGGCUUAACCGCGGAAGUGCCGCUGAAACUGCUGCUCUUGAGUCCCGGAGAGGCUGCCGGAAUUCGUGGUGUAGCGGUGAAAUGCGUAGAUAUCACGAGGAACACCAGAGGCGAAAGCGGGCAGCUGGACGGGUACUGACGCUCAGGCACGAAAGCGUGGGGAGCAAACAGGAUUAGA
rnacentral:rRNA from 1 species